AAUAAGCGGAGGAAAAGAAACCAACAGGGAUUCCCUUAGUAGCGGCGAGCGAACAGGGAAGAGUCCAGCGCCGAAUUCCGCGCCUGUCACGGGUGUCUGGAAAAUGUGGCGUUUAGGAGGGAGCGUGCCGGUGGUUGGCUCUGCAGCAAGUCCCCCUGACCGGGGCUGUUUCCCAUAGUGGGUGCGAGGCCCAUAGCUGCUAGGUCUCCUCCGGAUGUGACCUCUUGGGAGUCGGGUUGCUUGAGAGUGCAGCCCUAAUCGGGUGGUAAACUCCACCUAAGACUAAAUACGGCCGUGAGACCGAUAGCAAACAAGUACCGUGAGGGAAAGUUGCAAAGAACUUUGAAGAGAGAGUUCAAGAGUACGUGAAACUGCUCAGAGGUAAACGGGUGGGCCCUCGAAAUCCUGUGGCGGGAGGGUUCAGUCGGAAUAGGCGGAUGUGUGCUCCGGAGAUGUUAUACGGAUCCACUCGAGGACCGGUUCUGGUAUGCACUGUUUCUACCUUGCCUGACGCAAUUCCUUCCGCCCGAAUGGACGCCGCAGCCAGUUGGGUAGCUGCGUGAGACGGCCUUAAGGGCGGUCGACGGCAGGUGACCGGUGGCGAGAUUCGUUCUUUUCGCCGGUUGUUAGCCAGUCCGCCAGUGGCUCGUCACCCGACUGAGGUUUUAUGGGGCCCGGUUCAUGGGCCCUUUGCCGUCUCCUCCCUUAAAAUGGAGCGGAAGGAUGCCGACAGACGUGCAGCGGCGCUCGAUGUUUCACUGGAUCAACCGUGUGCGUCGCGCCGACGUCUUUGGUGGUUGGCACGAGUCCGCGGGAGUGCUGGUGGCUAGCGGCGAGUAGGUCGGUCACCCACCCGACC
rnacentral:rRNA from 1 species